CUCUUCUUGGAUGAGUUGCGAACGGGUGAGUAACGCGUAGGUAACCUGCCUUGUAGCGGGGGAUAACUAUUGGAAACGAUAGCUAAUACCGCAUAACAAUGGAUGACACAUGUCAUUUAUUUGAAAGGGGCAAUUGCUCCACUACAAGAUGGACCUGCGUUGUAUUAGCUAGUAGGUGAGGUAAUGGCUCACCUAGGCGACGAUACAUAGCCGACCUGAGAGGGUGAUCGGCCACACUGGGACUGAGACACGGCCCAGACUCCUACGGGAGGCAGCAGUAGGGAAUCUUCGGCAAUGGGGGCAACCCUGACCGAGCAACGCCGCGUGAGUGAAGAAGGUUUUCGGAUCGUAAAGCUCUGUUGUAAGUCAAGAACGGGUGUGAGAGUGGAAAGUUCACACUGUGACGGUAGCUUACCAGAAAGGGACGGCUAACUACGUGCCAGCAGCCGCGGUAAUACGUAGGUCCCGAGCGUUGUCCGGAUUUAUUGGGCGUAAAGCGAGCGCAGGCGGUUUGAUAAGUCUGAAGUUAAAGGCUGUGGCUCAACCAUAGUUCGCUUUGGAAACUGUCAAACUUGAGUGCAGAAGGGGAGAGUGGAAUUCCAUGUGUAGCGGUGAAAUGCGUAGAUAUAUGGAGGAACACCGGUGGCGAAAGCGGCUCUCUGGUCUGUAACUGACGCUGAGGCUCGAAAGCGUGGGGAGCGAACAGGAUUAGAUACCCUGGUAGUCCACGCCGUAAACGAUGAGUGCUAGGUGUUGGAUCCUUUCCGGGAUUCAGUGCCGCAGCUAACGCAUUAAGCACUCCGCCUGGGGAGUACGACCGCAAGGUUGAAACUCAAAGGAAUUGACGGGGGCCCGCACAAGCGGUGGAGCAUGUGGUUUAAUUCGAAGCAACGCGAAGAACCUUACCAGGUCUUGACAUCCCGAUGCUAUUUCUAGAGAUAGAAAGUUACUUCGGUACAUCGGUGACAGGUGGUGCAUGGUUGUCGUCAGCUCGUGUCGUGAGAUGUUGGGUUAAGUCCCGCAACGAGCGCAACCCCUAUUGUUAGUUGCCAUCAUUCAGUUGGGCACUCUAGCGAGACUGCCGGUAAUAAACCGGAGGAAGGUGGGGAUGACGUCAAAUCAUCAUGCCCCUUAUGACCUGGGCUACACACGUGCUACAAUGGUUGGUACAACGAGUUGCGAGUCGGUGACGGCGAGCUAAUCUCUUAAAGCCAAUCUCAGUUCGGAUUGUAGGCUGCAACUCGCCUACAUGAAGUCGGAAUCGCUAGUAAUCGCGGAUCAGCACGCCGCGGUGAAUACGUUCCCGGGCCUUGUACACACCGCCCGUCACACCACGAGAGUUUGUAACACCCGAAGUCGGUGAGGUAACCUUUUGGAGC
rnacentral:rRNA from 1 species